UUACACCGAACAAGAAAGAUUGAGGAAGAUCAUUUACGACUUGACCAAGUUGUGGGCUGAUUUUGCAAGAACAGGGAACCCAACGCCAGACAAAUGUGACGUGAAAUGGAAGCCAUACACGGCAGAAGGAAAAGAAUAUAUGGCACUAAACGAGAAAAUGUCCCUUGGUCACUACGCUGAUCAAGACAGAACCGAAUUCUGGGACAAAUAGUACUGCGAUGCUGGAAGGCCUUGCAUGACUAAGAGCAAUUUAUAGGUUAAGGAAAA